UUCCACUAUUUAUUUAUAUAUUUAAUUUAUGGUUAAUUUACUGGAUUUUGCUAUGACUGUGCACUGUUAAUGUUGGUGGUUUUUGCUGCUCUGCUGACAGGUGCCCCAAGUGCGUACAACUCAAGCUUCCCCGAGAAGCUGCUUCUUUCUGAUCAAGACUCCAGAUCAAAUUGAGAGAAUGAGAGAAACUUGUCUGAUUGCUAGGGAAGUUUUGGAUGCUGCUGCUCGGAUUAUACAACCUGGAAUUACUACAGAUGAAAUUGAUGUUGUGGUUCAUGAAGCAACAAUUGCUGCUGGAGGAUAUCCAUCUCCAUUGAACUAUAAUUUCUUUCCAAAGUCUUGCUGCACUGAAUGAAAUUAUCUGCCAUGGGAUUCCUGAUGCAAGGUAUGCCAUAAACCCAACCAAGAACUAUCAUAUACCAUGAUAGCUGAUCCUUUAAAUCCAUUUCUCAUUAUGCUCUCUCCGUCGCAUUCAAAGUAACAUGUUUUCCUUUUUGGAAUGUCCCACUCUAAUUGCACAUUUUCUAAAAUGGAAACAUCAAUCUCUCUAUUUUAUUCUCUCUCUACUUAACUCACAAAACAACACUGCAUAAAAGUCAUGCCGAACGGGCAAUGCUUCACUUAGAAUGUGAUGGAUGUAGUAUUUGAUUAUCCUACUUGCGCUAUAGCUAGUGUCUAAUGUAUAUCUCGGGGUUUGUGUCCUAUGAACCUUCAGCACAUUAUUUUCUUCUACUUUUUAACUUGUUUGUUCUUGGCUGAAGAACUUAGAUUCAUGACCUCAGGAAAAGUAAUUUUCCCAGGAACUCAACUCCUUUCUUCUGAAUUCAAUGUGGGAAGUUUAGACGACAUGGUGUUUAUCAUGCAUAAUGAUAGUGACAGAUCUAGGUAAUUAUCUUUGUAAGAAAAUUCCUUCUUACUCAGUUCCAAGUAUACUUUUCAGUAAACGUUGAUGUGAGUGUGUAUUAUAAAGGGGUACAUGGUAAGGAAACUCAUAGCCAACUUUAGGUGAUAGCUAUAAUUUGUUAUUGUAACAUAAGACACUGAAAAUUUCUUGCUUUUGUAGCUGACUUGAAUGAAACAUUCUUCGUGGGUAAUGUUGAUGAAGCAUCUAAACGGCUGGUUCAGCAUACUAUUGAAUGCCUGGAUAAUGCAAUAGCAGCUGGAAAUUGGAGAUAUUAUUAGCCGUCAUGCAUCUAUGUCUGGAUUCUCUGUGGCGAGAUCUUAUUGUGGUCAUGGUAUUGGUGAGCUCUUCCAAUGUGCACCAAAUAUACCCCAUUAUGCAAAGCCUUAACUGGAGCAGGAAAUAAGGCUGUUGGAGUUAUGAAGGCGGGCCAGACAUUUACGAUUGAACGUAUGAUAUAUUCAGGUGUUUGGCGUGAUCGAAUGUGGCCUGAUGGAUGGGCCAAUGUAACUGCAGAUGGGAAACGUAGUGCCCAAUUUGAACAUAC